rnacentral:lncRNA from 1 species
AAAAACCCAUUGAUUCUCCUCUGAUAGCUUGCCUAGAAGAAGUAGUUUCAAAUUGUAGCAAUGGUUCGUUGCCAAUGGAAACUUUGGCUGGAGGCUUCGUUUUGGAUCAAACGACGUUCACAACUUUUUCACGUACACUAUCUCAGAAAUUAAAACCUGAUGAAAUUAUUUAUGUGGUAUAUUUGCAUAAUUUUGAGUCCUUGCUUUCAUCAGAUUGGUAGGGGAUUAUCGAUGUUGAAUGAAAUUUCGGACAAGGUAUACAGAGUUUCUUAUUAUUUUUUGUAUUUUGCAAUUAAUUUGUUUCUUUUUCUCUUCCUUAUUAUUUACUUGUGUAGUCUCUCUCAAUUGUCAAGGAGUUGAUUGAUAUUUUAGUGGUGUCGUAUCAAAAUUAUCGAUAGUACGUGUUUUCGAUCAUGAGGUUCGUAAAGUUCAAAUUUUUAUUUUAUAUUAUUUUCUUUUUUUGAUCUUUUAUUCUUCUUUCUCAAUAUGAUCUAAGCAUUGGUUUUCAUCCUAUGAGAAACUCUUGUACAUCUUUUGUAUGGAAUCUUUGUGACUCUAAAAUAUUGAUAUGUCGUCAAGAUUAUUUGAUAACAGUUACAUGGUCUCAAGAUUAUAUUUCAUAGAGAGAAAAUAGUCUGAAUAUCUUUUUUUUUUCUUUCGUAUUGUCUACAAAUUAUUUUUUUUUGCUGAAAUCAAACUUAAACUGUAUGACAUAUGUAAUGGAGACUAGAGACUCUUAUUUACGUUCAUGUUGGUGCCAUUAUUUACUUUGUGGUAUCAUUCUAAUUCAACCCUAAGAGCUAUGUUUAGAAUUACUCGUGAGUCGUAAAAACCUAAUUUGAGUCUUUAUGCAUAUACAAACUCAAACACAAAGAUCGUAUAUCAAUAAAAGCCAUAAAAUCUAUUGAGGUUAGUUUUUAAAUUGCCUUUUUUUCAAUUAAUUUACUAAUGGUCCUUUUAAUAUUAUUGGCAACUUAGAAGAUCAGUGGGGUGAGCAACUUGGUGAUUAUAUUGAAUAGAGAACUUUCAAGAAUUAUACACAAUGGACGAUUGAUAAUAUUUUUUUUUUUUGAUAAUUUUUCGUAUUUUUUCUUCCAAUUAAAAAUUAGUUGUUCAAAAAUUGGAUGAAACAAGUAUGUUGUUGUCAAAAGCCGUAGUCUAUAAAAAAAUCAAAAGUUUUUCUCUUUUCUUUUUUGUUCUUUGUUUCAAUAAAUUUUUUGUAAGAUGUAAGAACUCCUAAUAUUUAGUACUUCAAACUUGAUUAAAGUGUACUUCUUAAAUCUUUUUUAUUUGAACUAUAGUAGAAGUCUUAGUAUUUAAGAUUUUAAAGUUAAGGAAAAGAACAAAAAGAUCGGCCAAUUGUUAUAUAUUUCAUCGGUCUAGCCUUAAGCUCUAGAAAUAUUUUGAAUUCUGAUUUUUUUUUAAAAAGAUAUAGAUGAAACGUAUAUAAGGAAAACAUGAUUUGUAAUUCUAAAAGUGAGUUUUUCUAAUAUAGAUUUACAAUUAUUAUACAUUAUAGUAUAUUGUUUGAUAUUGAUGUUUUUAUACAUUAGUUAUAAGUCUGUAUUAUGCAUUACUUAUUAAUGAACAAUUGAUACUCCAUAUAAAUGUGUAUACUCAACAUAUAAUUAGUGUAUAAAUAUUAUACAUUAAGGAUAUACGAAUAUCCAUAAUAAUACAUUCAUUAAAAUAUUAAAAGACUUAAUAAAGUGUUCAUAUUUAAUAGCUGCGUGAGAAUAAGAAGAAAAAUAAUUUUUCAAAAUUGAAAGUGUCUAAUAGGAAUACUUUAAGUAAAUUCUUUUCAUAGUAUAUUAUUUAACUUAUAAUAGUUAAAAUAUUAAUUUAUUUUCCUUAACACUUUCGAACAACAUAUGAAUUGCUCCAUAUAUGUCAUAUCGGAAAAGUUUAUUUAUUGUUUUUCUUUUGUAGUUCUAUAGCCUUCGUAGUUAUUCUUAAUUUAGUUUAAAAUAAUUUUUAAUGGUUUUAUAUGAUUUUAUAUAAAUAUAUUAAUUUUCUAUUCAAGUAUUUUUCUUAUUUAAUAGAAUCAUCAAUUUAUUUACUCAGUUAUGAAAUAAAUAAGUCCAACAGAACACCUAGUCUAAGGCACCGGGAACCAGGUGCUCAUGUUGAAAACAGUUAUUCAAGAUUACCUAGUUGGACCAAGAAACCUUUAAUCACCUUAGUGUCAUGGUCUAUUUUCUUUAAUUUAUAAUAUCGAUGCAAUUUUAUUAAAUUAAUCUGAAGUACACGCGCGGGAUGCGUACCCCUAAACUUGUAUGUAUAUAUAUAUAUAUAUAUAUAUAUAUAUAUAUAUAUACAAACCCUUCCACCCUAACCUCCAAUUCCAUCUCCAUACCAUAACCUGCACGCUCAAUAUUUUUUUUUAAAAAUUAUACCCUUAAAACCAGAAAAGAAAAGAGCGAAAUCUGGAAAAGUACCUCGCCCACUUCCACCUCAUCCAUCACUCUCUCAUUCCUAAUCAAAUCUUUAUGAGUAAAAAAAAUUUUGUAAUUACAAAAGAUUUAUAUUUUAUAUUUUUCUUUAUUAUAUUAUUUACAACUUAGAAUUUCAAAUAGUCAAUAAUAAUAUUAAUUUUUAUUCUAUUGUCUUCAUUUUUUUAUUUAAAAUUUAUAAAUAGUAAAAUGUAUACUAUCUAAUUACUUCAUUACAUAAAAAUUAAAAAAUAAAUAAGCUUUGUUAUGCCAAAAUAGAUAAAAUAUAGAUUAAAAGAAGACUCUAAAAUAAUCUAAUUUGUUAUAAAUGAUUAUAAUUUAAACUUCAAGUUAAAUACUUUCUCAUCUAUCAAACUAUAAUUUUAUCUCCUAUUCUAUUUUAUUUUUCUUUUUACUCAGAUUAAAAAAAAUUAUUAACCGAUCCUAAGAAUCAAAAAGAUUUCCAUAAUGCAUGUAAUAUUCUUGAAUAUUAAUUUUACUUGAAAAACGUAAAAUCACAAAUUUAUUAUACGAAAAAUAAUUUUAAUGUGUAACUGUGCACAUAAUAUUUAAUUAUAUUAUAAGCUACAAUAUUAAAAAUUUAUGCUGAUUUAACAUUUUAUUUUUUUAAUCAAAGCAUUACCAACAUGAGAACCUAUCAUUAUAAACAUUUGAGUUGGUUCUUGUGUUUUAGUUGUCACGAUUUUUUUUUUUUGACUUUAUCGAUUAAAUAUUUUAAUAAAUAUGUAAUGUUAUCUAUAAGAUUACCUUUUUUCUUACAAUCAAAACAUUCUCAUCUCAAAUUCUAAUGAAAUAAGUAAGCUAUCACAACUUAAAUUUUAUCUAAUUUAUAAAAUUGAUUAAAUAUAAUUUGCAUGUUUAGAUGAAACAAAUUCAUCAACGAUAUACCUUUUUUUAGAAAUAAUUAGAGAAUAAUUAUAUGACAUUGACUUAAAUUGUGUACAUUUGUUAAACAAUUUACUGAAUAUUUAAAGAUAAUAAAUCCAAACCUAAUAGAUUGAAUUGUUGGUGUGAAAUUUCAAACUUGAACCCAUAAUAUUUAAGUUUCGAAUUUACUAUAAGAUCUCGUAACAUCAUAUUAAAUAGUUAAUUCAUCACAAAAAAAUAAAAACACAUAAAUUGAUAUGAGCAUUCAUUUUUUAAAAAUAAAUUAUAUAAAAUUAAUAACAAAAGUUAGCAUUUAAAAAGUGUCAACUUAACUUCUCAACUAAAGGUGGUUUUAUUUUUUAUUUAUGUAAAUGAAUUUGUUUUUAUCAAAAAUCAAACGAAUAGAAAAAUGUUACUUACUUGUAUUCAAGCUUGGAUAUAAUGAGAAUAAAUCAAUCUGUGGUAGCUCCAUCAGUCAUCAACAUAUAAAAAAUAAAAGUGUUAAAUUUCUAAAAAAUAAAAAAUGAAAAAUAAAAAAUAAAAAUUAAAAAAUAAAAAAAAAUGAAAAAUAAAAAAUAAAAAUUAAAAAAAAUAAAAAAUAAAAAAUAAAAAAUAAAAAAUAAAAAAUAUGAAGAAUGCAAUAAAUAAAUUUAUGAAUAAAACAAACAAUCAAUAACAAAGAAGAAGAAGGAAGCUUAAUAUUAUAUGACAUUAUAGGAGUAUAUAGAGAGAUGUGAAGAAGUUUGAAAUGUAUUCCAACUCAACAUUCAUUUGAAUUCAAAUUUCAUAAAAAGAUCAGUAUAUUAAUUAGGAUAUUGAUUUAGAUAAAUAUAAAUACAAAAAUAACGAAAAAAAGGAGCAAAAACUUUUAGUUGUUAAUAAGCAGGAGAAUAUGCUAUGAAAAAAAAGUAACCUAGUAGGCAUAAAACAAUUCAUUUUCAAUUCAAAUUUUAAAUUACUAAUUUUUAAUUGUGGGGUGGGGUGGGGUGGGGGUUAAGGGAUUAAUAAUGAUGACAUUGUUACUGGUGGCACUAUUACUACUUCUACUCUACCGCCAAUGCUAAUUUUUUCUUUAAUUAUUAUUAUUAUUAUUAUUAUUAUUAUUAUUAUUAUUAUUAUUAUUAUUAUUUCUACUUCUUCAGAUGUAGAGGUAUGGACUGCGUACAUCUUACCUCCCCAGACCCUACUAGGUGGGAAUACACUGGGUUUGUUGUUGUUGUUGUUGUACUAUCUGUACCAGCACCAUGCAUGUACUACUAUUAUUACUUUUACUAUUAUUUAUGUAUAGUUUAUUAUGAAAUGAUUUGAAUCCUAAUAGUUUAUUAUGAAAUGAUUUGAAUCCUAAUUUCAAAUUUCAAUAAUAUUUCAAAUUGAUUAAGGUGUUUUCUAAUUUUCAAAUAAGUUAUAAUCGUAUGAUUAAAAUUAGAGUAGGCUAAAAAUCUUAAUUGCUAUUGCUAAUUUUACUAAAUAUUAAAUCAUAUGUAUUUAAAUAUAUUUGAUGUAGCAUUUAAAUUUUAAAAGAGAUUAGUCAGAAAUAGUAAAUGUCUAUUAGAACUCUUCAAAUAUGGAUUUCUACUUUUAAGAUAAUGAUUUUUUCUUAAAAGAAAGGAUAAUAUAUUUCAAAUACAAAUACUUAAUCUUUCAAUUCAAAAAAUUUAUUACAAUGUUAUAAUUUCAUAAUAUACCGUGUAUUACUGCUGCUACUACUACUAUUAUUAUAUAUUUAAUUUUUAAAAAUUAUUAUUAUUAUUAUUACUACUACUACUAUACUACGUACUACUACUACUACUACUUUUAUUAUUAUUAUAAAUAUCUUUAUAUUAUUAUAUUUUAUUUAAUAUUUAAAUAAAUUAUAUUCAGAUAUAUUUUUUUAUAUUUAAAUUUUAAAAGAGAUAAGUUUGUGAAAGAGUAAAAGUUUUUUAGAAUUCUUCAACAAUGAAUUUCUAUUUUGAAGCUAAUGAAAAAUCUUUUUUUAUUAAAAAAAAUAAUAGGAUAAUGUAUUUUCAAAUUCAAAUAUUUAAUAUCCUUUAAUUCAAAACUUUUAUUAUAAUUACAUUAAUUUAUGUCCUAAAAACUGCCACAUGGCUAUUUUUAUAUGUUGCCACUUGGCAUCUUGUCUUAUUUUAGUUUUGCUUUUAUAUAUAUAUAUAUAGAGAGAGAGAUUCCUUUAAAGGAAUAAACAUGUCCUCUACAGUGGCGAGCCUAGACUUUUCACCAAGUGAGUUCAAUAUAUAAAAAAUAAAUAUGCAACAAAUGAAAUCAAACAAAGUUUAAUUAACUAAAACAUAUUAUUACAAUAUUAUUCUAUGAGUUUUCAUUUCUUGAAACCUAUUCAUAAUACUUUCAUCAGAAACAGUAUUGAAUAUUUUUUUCUACAUAAGGCACCAUACAACUGCUCAUGAAACCAUCAUCUAUUCGUUUUCUCAAUUCACUCUUGGUCAACUUCAUUGCCGAAAAUGCUCUUUCAACUAUAGUAGUGACAACCGACAGGAGCAAUGCAAACUUUAUAAGAUGAAACAUAAGAGGAUAAUUAAAGUUUUUUUGUCUUAACUAGCUCCUCGGAAAGGUCACCAAAUCCUUUUAGAUUAGAAAAUCUUUCAUCAACAUCACGAACAUCAACACUAUAAGUCUUUAGCUGAUUCUUGAGAGUAACCAUUAUAUUUUCACCAAAAUUAUCAGGAUAUAAUUCAGCUAUUCUCAAUGUUUUGUUUAUGUCAAAAUUAGAAAAUGAGUCAACAGGAUUCAAGCAAGCAACCCCACUAAGCAAAUCCGUUCUCACCUCAUUAAAACGAUUAUUGAGUUCUUGAAGUUGUCAAUCAAUAAUUUUAAAAAAUACUUCGACGCGAUAGUGAUGUGAGAUAGUAUAAUCAGCAACUCUUCGUCGAGAUCUUCCAAAAUUAACAUAGAACUCAUUAAAAUUGGGUAUCAAAAUAUCAUACCUGACACAAAAUUCAAAUACAUUUUUGAUAAGUGGAUUUCAUCCUUCAUCCCGUAAAUUUUGCAAUCAUUUUUUCACCUCUUUAACAAGUAGAACAACAUUUGUAAUAUCUUGUUCUUUCUUUUGUAAGGAUUCAUUAAGCUCAUCUGUGAUUGCUAAAAUCUCUCUCAUUAAGUGCAAUAUGAAAACAACCUCAAACAUUUGACAAGUUCUGAGAUAUCCUAAUGCCCUAGCUUUUUCUUCAACAGAUUUAGAAUCAACAACAAUAGUAUCAAGGACAUCAGUAAUAGACCAAACAUACUAAUAAAGUUCUUAAAUGAUUUAUAGUGUGAACCUCAAUGAGUAUUAGCAGCUCUAACAAAACGGAGUUCUUGAUUCAACCCCUUACCAGUUUCAAUCUCUCCCAUAUCUAGGGCCUCUUGAACUUUCUCUGCUUGUGCUUGUCGAAGUUCAUCCAUUCGUUUAAAAGAACCUCCUACUACAUUUAAUACAUUGGAAAUCAACAAUACAAGUUCUUCAACUUGAAGACAUUUUUUAGAUACACCAACACGAGUCAACUGAAGUUGAUGAGCAAAAUAAUGAAUUACAUGAGCUGAUCUACUUUCUUACUGAAUCAAAACUUUAAGGCUACUUAGAUUCCCUUGCAUAUUGCUUGCUCUAUCAUAGCAUUUCCCUCAUAUACAAGAUAAAUUCAAAGAAUAUUGAGUAAGAUAGUUAACAACUGCUUCUUUUAAACAUAAAGCACUAGUAUGAUGAGCAUGGACAAUCCCUAUAAAUCGUUCCACAACAGAUCCCUUACCAUCAACAUAUCGCAAAAAAAUUGCCAUUUGCUCCUUACGUGACAUAUCACAAGAUUCAUCUACUAGCAAUGAGAAAUAAUCACCAUUUAGAUCCUCCAUAAUAGCUUUAAUUGUUUCAAGUUUACAUGAAGUGGCAAUAUCCUUUUGAAUUUUAUAAGAAGUCAAUUGAUUACUUUUUGGAGCAUUUUUCAAUACAAGAUCUCUAAUCCUAUCACACCGACUUGCAUAGCAUGAAAGAAUUUCAAGAAAGUUACCCUUAUUCAAUAAUGAUUCAUCUUCACGAUGUCUGCGAAAUGCCAAUCCUUGAUUCAAAAAGAGUCUCACCACAUCAACAGAAGCUUGUAAACAAAUUCUGUAUUGAAGCUUGGUUUGAUUGGAUGGCUUUACAAAUGGGGCUUGGAUUGAUUGUUCUUGUCGCAUUAGAUCUUCACCCUUUUUCUUUGCCUUAUUGUGAUCACUGUUCGGUCCUCCAACAUGUGUAUCUAAUCUUUUCUUUUUGUACCAACUUCUGAAUCCUAUACUUGAAAAUUCUUCACCUCCACCUUGAUGAAUGCUUUCAUCUUGAAAUAAAUAACAACAUAAACAAUAAGCGGCAUCUUCAAUUUCACUAUACUCCAACCAGUCAUGAUAUAUUUUAUACUAUUUAUGAUUAAAACAACGUUUUAAAUCAGAAAUAUCUCUUUGAGAAAAUUCGCAAACUCGAGGUUGAUGAGGACCUCUUUGAAUAUAUGCUCGCCUAAUCUCAUCACGAUCAUUCACAUGAUGUUCUCAAAUAGAUUUUCUUUCUUUUGGAUCUGACGGUAAAGAAUUCAAGUUUACUCCUUGCUUUUAUCUUUUAGCAAAAUUAUGAUUUUCUUCUAAUUGAUUCAAGUUCUCUUCCACGCGAGGAGUAUUUUGAGUGGAUGAACUUGAUUGUGCCAACUUUGACGAUACCGGAGCAAAAUAUCUUUUCAUUGAAUUUAGAACCUGUAUUGUUGAAUUAAAUAUCUCAUUAGAAAAGUAAGAGUUAUUGUACGUAUUUGAAUUUUGAAAUUUUGUAUAAAAGUAACUAAAAUUGAAGAGAAAAUCAAUUGUGAUUUUCUUCAAUUUUAAGUAGAAAGAAUUUUUUUAAGUUGAGAAAAUAAAAAAUAACCGCAAUAAUUUUAUAUUUAUAAAAGAUUAAAGUAGAGAAUAAAGAGCAAAGAACAAACUUGAUAAAUUUCUUGAUUGAUGUGAGAUUGAUUCUUGUUUUUUUUGCUUGGAGGCUAUAGUUUUUUUUUUCUUGAUGUUGUAGGAAAUGAGGAAUAAGGUGAAUUAAGGAUUGAAGAAUUAUCAUGUUUUUAGGAAAAAAAUUGAAAAGUAAACCUUUUUUUUACCCCAAAACAUGGCUGUUGUAGCCUGUAGGUUGCUGCUUAAAAGUUUUAUAAAAAGGAUCGCUUAAAAGUUUUAUUAAAAAGGACUACUACAAUCUAGGUUCAAACUCGCAACGUCGGCAUCCGAAUUUGAACUUGCUGCCACUAGACUAGAGGCUUAACUUGUUCAAAGUGAGUUCAAAUUUAAAUAUAUAUUCAAAUUUAAAUAUAUACUGUUAUACUUAUAAGGGCUGAUUAUAUAGACACAUGUAUAUGGUAUAAUUUUUUGACAGAGUGGGUUCAUAUGAACCUACUUGAACCAUAGUUGGUCCACCCCUGGUCCUCUAUGAUAUUUUGUAAGUAUAUAAUACAUAAACCAUGUGAGAAUUUAUGAAAUAAUGAUAUUCUGUCAGUUAUGAUGUAUAGACAUCAUUCACAUAAGGCUUGCUAAAGUUCUGAAAAAAUAACAUUGCAUACCGCAUUUCUGAAAUUAUUUCAAUGUAAAUAAACAUGUAAAAUUUUAUAAACUUAGAACAUAACUUAAAUAGUGACACUAAUUAAACUGGGUAUCUCUGCACUUUCCCAACCAUGGUGGCUAAGGUCAUCUAUAAUUUUAUGAAGCCACUGAGAGAUAUUCCUAGAAGGUACUUGCCUAUACGAAGGUCAUUUGUUAUGAAAUCAAAUAGGAAUAGUGUUAGGAUUUGUCCUGAAUUUCCUAUCUUACUUGGAUUCUACCGUAAUUGUAUUUUACUUUGGAAAGGAUUUCUCAGUAGAAAAGAUUUCCUACUAGGAAAAAAUCUCUUUCCUAUUAGAUUUCUAUUAGGUUUAUUCUUUCUUAAAGGGCUCAUCGCUGGAAACCGUAGUUGCCGAUGCGGGUCAUAUGAUAUUGUAUCCUACAUGGGAGGAUAAUAAAAUAAUUGGAACAUCUCACAUGGGGGGAUUACCUAUGGUAUACUCACAUGGGGGGUAUACCGACUCCAAAUCCUGGCGGCUACUUGGAUUGGAGGCUUGGCGGCCGAGCACCAGAGGUGGAUUCCACAUAGCCGUGGAAUUACAAUUGUAGGGUAUUCCACCUAGCUCAAUCGCAUUAUAAUGAUAUUGAAAACUAUUACAUUAUGCCCAUGUAUUUUCAAAUAAUUUGAUAUGAAACUGCUUUAUAAUGGCUCUCACCUAUAUUGUGUAAAAAUAUUAUAUUUCUAUUUUGAUUUCUCUACGUACUAGUACUUUUGUAUUGACCCCCUCUCCUUCCAGGUUUGGAGGACAGUCUGGGGGUCCAGACAACCAGUAGAUUUCUUUUGACAGAUCGCAGAAUCAAGUGGUGAGCCUUUUAUAUUUCAGAAGGCCUGAUGUCUGCAGUUUAAUUUAUCAUUUAUUAGUUUUGGGUCUACUGGAGGCCUUGUCCCAGUUUUCAGAUAGACAUUUAUUUUAGUUAUGUAGUAGAGAUUUCGUAGACUUUAUAGAGAUGUUGUGUUGAGAUUGUGGGACAUUAUUUCCCAUUAUUACUUUCGCAUGAUUCUUGACCAUGUUCCAUUAUAUUGUGUAUCUUCCGCAUUUCUUUUAUCAUAUGAAUUGUGUGAAUGAUUACCAGACAGAUAGGGGUGUUUCGGGCCUCAUGGUUUGGAAUACUCAUCACGGCCCGGGCCCCAGUUUGGGUCGUGACAAACUUGGUAUCAAAGCACGGUUUAUGGUCCCAGGGUGUCUGCGAAAUCGCGUCGGGUAGAGUCUUGUUUAUUGGUGUGUAGCGUGCCACACUAUAAGCAGGAGGCUACUAGGCGAUUAGGAAUGUCUCUCUUUCUUCAUGUUCUAGUUCAUGCAAUAGAGUCAGAAUGUUCCUCUUUCAUACUCAAAUUCAUGCUAUGGCGUUGCCCAUACAAAAUUAACAGUCAUCCUAAUUCUUUCCUUACUCUGAUGUUCUCAGACAUGUCCCAUUAUUGGGCUGAUUCAAGUGCAAAAAGUUUAGAAUAUACGUGAUAUAGUCCUUUCUAAUUGAGUCCUAUAAGAUUUUAAAAAUUGUGCAAAGACUCGAUAGGAGUCUGUUAGUGCAUCAAUAUGUGUUGAUUUUGAUGUAAAUAUUGAUCCUAAUAGAAUCGUGCAUUCCAGCUUAAGGUAUUAAGUGUAUCUAGUCCCUCUCAAAAUCUUGUUACAGUUGUGGACAAUGUAUAGCAGAAUGUUGGAACUGUAUUUCUACCCGAAUAGUAGCAUAAGUUAAAGUGUUGUUGUCAUGACCUAUUGGUAGUGAUAUUGGAUCACGAAAUUGGUGAUGUAAAGUCACAAAGUUAGAAGUCAGAGUGAGGGUGAUUUUGUGUGAAUAAAUACUUCAGUUGAAUAACCGAUGUUUGAGGAUGAUUUACCCCUUUAUAGUGAUAAACUAAUUUGAUAGCUAGCAGCAUGUGUGGAAAGUAUGGUAGUCCAUGGAGGAAGUGUUUGACUCCGAUUUUAUUUUUACAGGGUAAGAUGUGUAUUCUUAGUUCAUUGAAUAUUGCGUAUUAAAUCUCUAUCUCAUAAAAUAUUGUCGUCAAAGUGUUGUUGAAACAUAAAGUCUAGUGAAGCCGUGCGGGGUUCUUUCGAUUCGCUAGCAUAGUUGACUUGUCAUUCAUCCCAUUUUCUUGUUCAAAAUACAAAAUCAAAGUCUAGUGAAGCCGUGUGAGGCCUAUUUCGAUUCACUAGCAACUUGUUGUCCAACUUGUAGUUCUUGUGUAGGUUUAAUGUAUGUAUAGGUGAAUCUUGUUGCAUGAGAUUGAGCUGGUAAAGAGAUGAUUCGUCCUUGUGUUUUAUUAGUAGAAGGUAGAGAAGAAGUUGUUAGUCAGGGUGAUUUGUUAGUUGCUUGAAUGUUAAAAUAGAUAUAUUAAUGAGUAAGUUAUGAUUAUAGACUCAUGGUUGUUUGAGGAAUUUGAAGGCAGUCUAAAUGUAUGCUUAAGUAAGUAUGAGGUGAGAAAUCCGGAUAAGUAGAGAAGAUUGUAUGGGGUUAUAAUAUCAGAUUAAGGUUGAUCAUGUCUAUUAUAUGAAUUUACCCCUUUGACCUUCUUUUCGUUGGUAGUUGUAAACUAGUACAACUUGUGAGAAGAUAGGUAGUGGAUUUUAAGGUGUUUGAAUAGAACGUGUCAAUUUUAUGGACUAGCAUAUUAUUUUGCACUCGUCAUUGGUGGUAAAUGAUUGAUACUAAACUAUAGGCUUGAAUUUAAAUGGUGUGGUGGUAAAUAGUGGCAAGAGUUUGAUGAUGCAUGUUUUGUGGGAUUAAAUUAGUAGGCUUGAGGUGCUGAAAUAGUACAUGCUAAUGGAUUAUGAUAAGGAAAACCGUUAGGUCAUGAUCGAUUAUGGUGGUUAUGAAGUUCUAGUGCACUAGUGUUUUGUGAUGUUUAGUUAUAGUUUCCAAGUGAAAAUUUCGUGUAAGGUUGGGUUGUAAAUCAUGUUUAGCACUAGACAUUAAGUUUGAACAGUUGAAGUUCAUAAAGGUGGAUAUGAUGAUUUCUUGAUCAAUGAUGUUAGUUAUAUGAAAGUGAUCUAAUAGGCUUGAACGGUGUAUGAAAUGGCUUAAGCUUAAAUUGAUUCGUAAUAAAGUAUAAUGUUGUAGGUAUAGUGUAGAAGUAUGCCAAGGUGAUAUAAGGUUGCGGCAUAUUUUUCUAAGACUAUUACAUAUUUUGUGUGGCUAGUGGUACCAUUGAAUUGUUAAGUGGAGAAAGACUAGUUAGAUGGUAUAUGGUGAUCUAAAUAGCCAUGUUAAGUGUUAGAAUCUAAGUUUGAGUUUUGAAGGUUGAACCGAUAGAAAUAAGUGUGCAAGCCUUAUACUAUGACUAUUGGGGCUAUCGAAAUAUAGAGUGUAUCUCAAAAGGUAGUAUUAGCAGUGGGCUUUCCACUUUCAUGUCUGGUCUUUCGGGUUAAGUUCUAUUAAUUUUGGAUAGUGUCAUAUUUUAGACCACAGAGUGUAGUGAGUGCAGUUAAGCUUAAAGUCUUGUAAGGGAUCUCCCAAGCUUAAGACGAUGGCUUAAAGCCAAAGGGGAGAUGAUAGAAUAAGUAAUCAAGUCAGGCUCUCAGAUUCUAGUAGUGAUGUCAUAAUGGUAUAGAACAUCAGAAAGGGAGGGUGAGACUCAACCCAUUUCUAUCUCAGUAUUUUUCAGUGAUCCUAAUACAUGCUCAUCCCUUACAUGUUAGUUCGAUAAUCAUAGUUCAUGUUCAUGUAUAUGAUAGAGAGUCACGUACUCUUGUAGUUUCGAGAUAAUGAGUUCUAGUUCAUUAAAGUAGUCGGAAUCACAUUCCUUAUGUUAUGAACUCUAGUUGAGGUCAUGGAACUCAUGACGCAUGUGCUCACUCUUUAUAGUGUGCUCAGCCCCAUAUAAAAAUCUUUUCAUGCUUCAGGGUCUUAUGUUUUAACCUUUUAGGGACCCUCCCUAUGCAAUGAUAGUGGUGAUGAUGUAAAUGUUCGUGUUGGUGGAAGAUCAUAGUAUGCUUAUUUAGAUAAUGCCAUAAGUAUGAAGUAAGAUUUGGGGCAAAGUCUUUGAUACACGUGAUGGUUAGUGGAAAAGUUUGUGUGUGUAUGUCUUAGGGUAGCGCGUGGGAGUUAUAUUGACAAUAGCUUAGAAAUUAUGUGAAGUAUGUAUUUAUGGGUGGUUGCCUUGAAGUCAACAUGUGGUUAUAAAAUAGGCUUGAAUGAUGUUUUGGGAUUGUAGUGCAAGGUCGCAAUAUGCAUUAGCGACUUCAUAUUAAGAGUUCAGAGUAGUCAUUGAAGUGGUAAGGCAUGUCAUACUUAGGAUGUGAUCUUUAAAAGAGGUAUAGAAGGUGGCAUCAUAUGGUUUAGAAUAANNNNNNNNNNNNNNNNNNNNNNNNNNNNNNNNNNNNNNNNNNNNNNNNNNNNNNNNNNNNNNNNNNNNNNNNNNNNNNNNNNNNNNNNNNNNNNNNNNNNNNNNNNNNNNNNNNNNNNNNNNNNNNNNNNNNNNNNNNNNNNNNNNNNNNNNNNNNNNNNNNNNNNNNNNNNNNNNNNNNNNNNNNNNNNNNNNNNNNNNNNNNNNNNNNNNNNNNNNNNNNNNNNNNNNNNNNNNNNNNNNNNNNNNNNNNNNNNNNNNNNNNNNNNNNNNNNNNNNNNNNNNNNNNNNNNNNNNNNNNNNNNNNNNNNNNNNNNNNNNNNNNNNNNNNNNNNNNNNNNNNNNNNNNNNNNNNNNNNNNNNNNNNNNNNNNNNNNNNNNNNNNNNNNNNNNNNNNNNNNNNNNNNNNNNNNNNNNNNNNNNNNNNNNNNNNNNNNNNNNNNNNNNNNNNNNNNNNNNNNNNNNNNNNNNNNNNNNNNNNNNNNNNNNNNNNNNNNNNNNNNNNNNNNNNNNNNNNNNNNNNNNNNNNNNNNNNNNNNNNNNNNNNNNNNNNNNNNNNNNNNNNNNNNNNNNNNNNNNNNNNNNNNNNNNNNNNNNNNNNNNNNNNNNNNNNNNNNNNNNNNNNNNNNNNNNNNNNNNNNNNNNNNNNNNNNNNNNNNNNNNNNNNNNCGAGUAUCUUAGUGAAUUGAGCAUUCAUAGAGGGACAUAGGGUCCCAAGGGGGAGAUACCCCAUUCAGCUGUAUGCAUAGAUUCUUAUUACAAGCUUCGAACCAGUUAUCGUUACGUAUUCAGCCAUACGUCAUACGUCAGUUCAGUCAGAUAUGCAUGCAUUAGAAAUGCAUGUUCAAUAGAAAAGUUCAGCUUAUCAGUGUAUUCAGUUUCGUGUUCAUGAAAACAACUCAGUAACAAAUCCAUGCAUCAGCUAUGCAUGUUCGUUAUGAGAAUUCAGCCUAUGAUUCGCUUCAGUUGUGUAUUCCAUGCCUCGGAUAUGCAUGUCCAGCAUAAGCAUUUAAAACAUCAGUAGUUCCAAUCUUAUAGUCAUGUUUCCGAUCAGUGUAUUCCUUCUUAGGGAACAUAUCAUGUCCGUGUUACCCCAUACCCUUAAGACUUUGACAUUCUAUCCAUCAUUCGAGGACGAAUGAUCUCAAGGGGGAGAUAAUGUAACACCUCAUAUUUUGGACUACAAUAUAGACCAUGAUUCUGAUGUGUUGAUAAAUCUCGAAGCCAUAAAUCCUAUGACAAUAUGACAUGUUAAUUAUUUGUGUAGCAUGUGAAUUCAUUCAAGCUUGAAUUUAGACCAUAGGUGUCAUUUGACUCAAGGACGAGUUGAAAACUACUUCGACCGAUUAAGCUUAAGUGGACAUUAUAAUUUGUGUCAACUUCUAUUGACCAUUACUCUUUGUAUAUGUCGAAUUAGAAAGCCUACUAUGUGUAAAAUGAUAGGUUUCCGAGUUAGCUUUCCAACGAUACCAAUUUUUCUAAAAUCCAACACCCGAGCAAGAAGUUAUGGCCUUUCAAAGUAACAUGCGUCGCCUAACCAAUCGCACAUGGCCACUGGAAAGCAUAGGCGGAGCCUAUGUUUAGGCGGCGCCUAUGUAAACAUAGGCGAUAGCCUAGGCGGUACCUAUGUAAACAUAGGCGAUGGCAUAGGCGGCGUCUAUGUAAAGGUUUCAAGUGACUUAAACACUCCGUUUUUGGGGAAAAAUGGUCCUUUUCCACCCUUACUUAGCCCUAAACACAAAAUUCAGUUCCAAAGACCCCAAAAUACACCUUCAUUUAUCAAAAAUGCUCAAGGAUUCUCUUUAGGGUUUCAAAAUAAAAACCCAAGUAGUUCAAGAUUCAACCAUGGGUUUUCAAAACAAAUUGAAGAUUUGGAAUCUCCGCAAUGUAGGCUUCAAGAAGCACCUAUCAUAUUCGCAUAUAGAGGUACGUGGGGUUAUCUCAAAAAUCUCAUAGGCUUUAAAAAUUCAUUUUUUCUAAAUGGGGUUUUUGAAAUUACGAAUAUGAUUAUGUUUUAAACGUUUUAUGAUAUUGAUUUGGUCUUUAAGCCUAAUUCCAAUGUGAUUUGAUAUAUUAUAUAUGGGUAUGCAUGUGUUUCAUAAUGAUGAUAAAUUGAGAGCAUGAUUUACACGGAACCCCUUUCUUGAUAUGAUAUUGUUUUAAGUUUUCACAUGAUAUGAAUCGUUUGGAAUCAUCUUGAAAUACAUGUCAUGAAAUGUCUUAAAAUGUCAUGAUUUGGAUAUGGUUUUUGACUUUCAAAGAGAGAGUUGUUUUGUUCAUGUUGAAAUAUGUUGCAUAUGUUGAUUGAAUGAAGAGAAUGAUAUGAUACUGAUGACUUGCAAGUCGGGUAUGACGAUACCCUACAGAGUAUGACAUGUGAUUGAUUUGAACAAAGUUUGAAUGCAUUGAUUUUCAUGAGAAAGAUGGAUUCCCGAAGAAGGCGUUUGAGUGAAAGGGCUUAUUGCUGGAGACCGUAGUUGCCGAUGCGGGUCAUAUGAUAUUGUAUCCUACAUGGGAGGAUAAUAAAAUAAUUGGGACAUCUUACAUGGGGGGAUUCGCUGCGUUGUACUCACAUGGGGGGUAUAACGGCUCCAAAUCCUGGCGGCUACUUGGAUUGGAGGCUUGGCCGCCGAGCACCAGAGGCAAAUUCCUCAUAGCCGUGGAAUUACAAUUGUACGGUAUUCCACCUAGCUCAAUCGCAUUACAUUGGUAUUGAAAACUAUUACAUUAUGCCCAUGUUUUUUCAAAUAACUUGAUAUGAAACUGCUUUAUAAUGGCUCUCACCUAUAUUGUGUAAAAAUAUUAUAUUUCUGUUUUGAUUUCUCUGCGUACUAGUACUUUUGUAUUGACUCCCUCUCCUCCCAGGUUUGGAGGCACAGUCUGGGGUCCGGACAACUAGUAGAUUCCUUCCGAUAGAUCGCAGAAUCAAGUGGAGAGCCUUAUAUAUUUCGGAAGGCCUGAUGUCUGUUGUUUAAUUUAUCAUUUAUUACUUUUGGGUCUACUGGGGGCCUUGUCCCAGUUUUUAGAUAGACAUUUAUUUUAGUCAUGUAGUAGAGAUUUCGCAGAAGUUAUAGAGAUGUUGUGUUUAGAUUGUGGGACAUUAUUCCCCAUUAUUACUUUCGCAUGAUUCUUG